GACGAACGCUGGCGGCGUGCUUAACACAUGCAAGUCGAGCGGUAAGGCUCCUUCGGGAGUACACGAGCGGCGAACGGGUGAGUAACACGUGAGCAAUCUGCCCUUCACUUCGGGAUAACUCCGGGAAACCGGUGCUAAUACCGAAUACGACCACUUCAGGCAUCUGAUGGUGGUGGAAAGUUCCGGCGGUGAAGAAUGAGCUCGCGGCCUAUCAGCUUGUUGGUGGGGUAACGGCCCACCAAGGCAACGACGGGUAGCCGGCCUUAGAGGACGAACAGCCACACUGGAACUGAGACACGGUCCAGACUCCUACGGGAGGCAGCAGUGGGGAAUAUUGGACAACGGGCGAAAGCCUGAUCCAGCGACGCCGCGUGGGUGAUGAAGGCCUUCGGGUUGUAAAGCCCUUUCGGCAGGGAAGAUUAUGACGGUACCUGCAAAAGAAGCUCCGGCUAACUUCGUGCCAGCCGCCGCGGUAA
rnacentral:rRNA from 1 species